UUUGGGAGCAGGAUGUGGAUUCUAAGGCUGCUUACUGCCUGCCCAAGUGACCAGACACAGGUAGAAGUUUCCAGAAUAGUACCCUAGAAGGAGCGCUUUGGUUUUCUCUUCUUACUUGGUAAGGGUCCCCUCCCACCUACCUAUCCCCAGUGUCCUGUCUAUAGAACAAGGACAGGGGUGCUUUGUCCCCUUGAGAGCCUUGGCUUGGUCUGGACUGCCUGCCGGUGUAGUACCUUUCUGUGUACCCACCUGCCAUUCCCACUUGCCAUGGCUGGCUCCUGGCUGGCUUCUAGCUGCUGUGAAUGCAGGGUGGGUAUUUAGGCAGAGGUCUCAUCUGAGCCUGUGGCAGCCUCCCUCCUUACAAAGCAUGCUCACAGAGGAGUCAUCCUGGUUCCAUCCCGUGCUCUGCACUCUGUCAUAUGCAUGACCUUGUCUUUGUCCAUUAGAGGACUAAAGGGUCUGCAAAGCUGGGUCUUCUUUCUUACUCUCCCAGGCCAGGUUAGUGGCAAGUCUAGAGCUGUAGGCUCAGCCUACGAGGGGUUGGUGGUAGGGAGGUGAGCACUCUGUCCUUCACUGUUUUCAUCUUGCUGGAGCCACUAUGACCCUAGAAAUGGGUGUGACCUGAGUAAUGGUCAUAGGCCAGUGGGUGGCAGGAAAGGUCAGUCACUCUCUGUCCCCUCCCAGCUUGGUGGGCCACAGGACUGUGUGGGGCUUGUGAGGUGUAUUCCCUACUUAAGGAGCAACCCACUCAUUGACUCCCCUGUGCAGGAGAGGUGUCCAUUUCGGUAAUCGUCUUUCACCCCUGCAUGGUUCUUCUCUUGAGUAUCAGCCCUCCUUGGCCUCAUAGGACCUUGAUCUCCUCCUGCGGGCCAGCUAGUGACUGGGAUGCCUAUUCUGUACUGUCCUUCAGUGGGUCCCUCCCUGGGAUCUGUGGUGGAAGUCUGGGGUCACAGUGGUGGUAAGGAUGACCGUGUUCCCUCCUCGUUCCUGGGCUGUGCUAGGGACCAAGUGCAGAUUUUGCUGUGACAGGUCCAAUUUCAGCAGCUGCUCCCACCCCCAGCCUUUGCCCUAAGCAUCCAGGGAUAGCAUCUUCAGGUAGCACUGAUCAGAAGACCCCCUCCCUGUACAACCCCGAGGCUUGGAGCCCUGAAGACCACUUGGGUUGGUGAAUGCCCAAUGGGCCUACUCAUAAAAACCUGGGGCUCCCACUCUUAUUUUUAGGGUUUUUAGAUCCUCACCUGUGGCCAUCAAACUGGCAUAAGGG
rnacentral:lncRNA from 1 species